UAAAUGCCAAAUAAACGAAUGUGACCGCCGCAGGACAUUGAAAGGACGUUCGCCAAUGACAAUUUGUUUGUGCAUACAUAUAUUUUAUCUGAGCCUGGGUCUGAUUCCGUGUUGGGUGUGUAUCUCUGUGUCACAGGUUGGCAAUAUUUCCCCGCAAUACUCACCUGAAAAGUACGCGACGAAGAGAGAACAAUUUAUGACCAUUGUUGUUUGAAUAAAAAACAGCUGUUCUACAUUAUGGGAAUGUGCAGUCAACCCAAAGGUUCAAUUAAUUUUCUCAUUCAAUAACUUUCAUUUAUAUUUCGACAUGUUUUAUUCAUUCAACUGUUCAUAGCGUACUCUGGAGAGCAGGUCAAAGCAAUUAGCGUAGAAAUUGAGGCGAAAACAGACAACGGAACCGCCUCAUUUAUUUCAAUUUAUUUUGUAUAAGUUUCACAGCGAUUCGCUAGUUAUUUGCUUUAAAAUUGCUGCGAAAAUAUGGAGAAAUUGUGUCAGUUUACGUAAAGCUACGAAAAUUAUGUUUACGAGGACGUCAAGCCUUGCAUUCGAGUACGAGUUUCGCUGACUGGCAAGUAAUGAACUCCGCCAAAAAAGAACACUUUGCAGCUGUUGGCGAAUACUGGCUAGAUUCAGCCUGUACCUCUUUUGGUAUCCUGGUAUCCUGCAUGGCGCAUUUGCGUGCUGAAGCGGAGGCAAUGAAAACAGAGUUUUCGCACUUGUGCGCCGCCUUGCGGAAGGACGCAGCAGGAGCAGGCAAAGAGAGAAACAAGAAAAUCGUGGGAAAUAUUGCAAAAUAUUAAAAAUGUUGUUGCCAAAGGCAGCAAAAAUAGAACCAACAAACUCGACCAAACGGCGCGACGGCAAAAGUACGAAUAAUACGGAGUAGAAGUGUCGACAUCGUCUGUGGGACAGAGGACAGACGUAAGGCACAAGGCGAAGGCAGGAUGUGCUGCAGCAGACAGCAGGCAAAAGAGCUACAAAAUAGCAUAGAAAAUUAAUAAUCGUGCAAUUUUUGCGCCAGUAAACAAUGGAAAAGUCUUGGCUCGUUAGUUUCCUCAUUAUUCUGAAUUUCCCAGCAAUAGCGAACUCUUGCUGUGCAUUUCGCGUUUUCUCUGUUUUGAAAACUUCGCAGUUGCAGUUCUAAGUCCAAAGCAAAGAACAUUGUACAACGCCUGACGGAAGAUAGAUGAAUGCAGCUGUCUGACAGGGCGAGAAUCAAGAAUGAAAACUAACUCGGAAAUAACAUGGAACACAAAAAGAGAAAUGGAGAAAGCGAUACAAACUCAACAUAAUUUUUCAUGAAAUUUGUUGCUCUUUUGUCGACAUUGUCAUGUUGUGAUGAAACAAUUUCAUAAAUAAAAAACUUGUAAUUGA